CUUGCCCUAUUCUUCCCACUCCGUUUUCAACUACUUCAGCAGCGCAAAAAAACUCUUUCUUUUGCUCAUUCUCAAUAUUGGAGACUGGGCUGGGGGAGAAGCUAAAACGCAAUUUCAUGUGUCCUCUUUGCUGCCGUUCUGUGAGUGAAACAGCGAUACGUGAAGGAAUUCAAAGAAAUAGAAUGGGUACAGACUGGACAGUGAUGAGAAUUUCGUCAGUAUUAUGGAGGUGACUUUUAAUGUUUAAGGUGCUUUGAAUAGCCUAUAAUUUAAAAUAAAAAUGAAAAAAGCAAGUGCAAGUGCAAGUGCGCGAAAAGACGAAACGGGCCAAGACAAGGCUAGCGACCAGCUGGUCGCAAAGUUGUCUUUUGGCUUUAAAUCAAAAAACAAGUGCAGCAAAACAUGGCAAUAGCAACAGCAACAAAAGCCGCGGCAUUUAACGGCUGUCAUUGUUGAUGGUGUUGUGGUUUUUCUGCAGCGACGUUCGUGUUUGAUCAAGAUCAAGGCUGCAGUUUGUGGACCGUGUGUGUGGGAAAAUCGGGUAGAUGAACUUGCUUAAACUUAAAUGGGAUUGGAUAACGCUAAUAUGUACAUAUGUACAUUUAUCUAAAUAUAUGUAUAUAUGUACAUAUGUAUGUAUAUGUAUAUGGAUACUGUACAUGUGAAUGCGGGUGGCACCUGAGCGAGAAGUACGCCCACCCAACAGCUGUCGUUUCCAUUGGCCAUGGGCGUUCAACCUGUUGUUUAUGGAAAACUACUUAAAAAACGACAGAAACAACAACAGAGGGAAGAGAGCACAAAACCGAAGCACAACCAAAACAAAACUGAAAAGAACAACAACAACAAAUACAUACAUACAUACGAAGAUUUUCAGCCACAAAAAGUUACAAAAAGCAAAAAAGAAGAAAAAUACCAGAAGGAAAGAGACGGAAAGAUACAUACUACUCUGGCUGCAAAAUCGAAUUCCAAACGCAUUCUGAGCUUAUCGCAUUUGGAAUUCCUGUCAUGCACGACGACGACUACGAUGACGAUGACGACAAUCCCCUCUUCAGUCUUGUGCUUGAAGCUGAUUCUUCUUCAGUUCCCGCCAUAGCCCCCAUCUUGGGGGGGUUCUGUGUGUCUAAUUGCAAAUGCCAAACACGUUGACAGAGGCGGCAACGACGAACGGCAACGAACGUUGUCAAGCUGCUCUGCCCAUGUAUGUAUAUACAAUCACAUGGAGUGGGAUAUAUUGUAUGUACCUUAGUACAUAUGUACAUACAUAUGUACAUGUUGAACAAUGCCCACAGACCCAACCCAUGUCGGAACCCCAAAGCGUUUAAGGCUGCGUUUUAAGUUCGGGCCACAGAAACGCAAACACACAAUCUUUGUUGCAUGAAUAGAUGACCAUUAUUAUGAGAUGAUCAAACGUUUAACCUCAAUAGUUGUAAGAACCAACUGCAGAGACAUGCAACAGGUGCUCGUUCUUAUUUGUUUAUCGCCUAUUUGGGAAACUCUGUUCAAAAUAAUUCAGGUAGUAUUAGAAAGAGUGUAGAAAUCGCUGUAAAAUCAAAACUAAUUCGGAUUUACCAUAUCAUAAAUGUUUUUAAGUGAAAUUGUUUCAAGUGAAGCUUCUCCACUGAUUUCAAUGUCAAAUCUGUCUUUAGAAAAUCUCGCAAUUGAAUCGGAUCACCUAUUUAGGCCCUCACCCACUUGGCCAGCGAAUGCAACCACCGCCCACACAACCGCUGAACCAACUGAACCACCAUCAUUCAUCCAUCUAUAAAGCCUAUCGAAAUGUUUGCUUUCGCAAAAAGAGAAAAAAACAAACAAAAAAGAUUGCAAAUGUCACACAAAAUUUAAUAGAGCAUGAAACGGCAUGAAAUCCAUUGAAAAAUAUAGAGAAAGAGAUGGAGAGCGAGGGAUGAGCAAAAUGAGAUGGAAAUAUAUGCGAGUGCAAAGUGUCAUCGAUUAGCUGACAGACAGCCAAUCAAUUCCAUUCCAUUUCGAUUCCAUGCGAUACGAUGGUGACAAGUGCAUUUCUUUCAAAUGUGCCACAAGAACAAAGCAGGAGCGAAGAGCCACAGCACACAAAAAUAAACGAUAUGGAGAGAAUGAGAAUAGGAACACCUUGAUCGAUAGCAGAUGCCUGGAACUGGCACUGGUAUCGGGACCCUUGUCAAAGAAGCUUCCUGUUUGGGGUCGAUCCUGCCAAAUUGAUGAAUGCAUCCGUUUGAAGAAAGGCAACCAGGCAGGAAGGAAGUGGCGAGUCCUCGCAGAGCUUCUAACAGGUGCUUUCCCAACGCUCCCCUGAGUCCUAAUGUGCGAUCCUCCUCCUCUCUUUCUCUCUG